rnacentral:tRNA from 1 species
AAUAAAAUGCCUGAAUAAAGGGCUAUCUUGAUAGGAUAAAAUAUGUAGUAUAAUUACUUUUAUUA